UGAGGAAUAUUGGUCAAUGGACGCAAGUCUGAACCAGCCAAGUAGCGUGCAGGAUGACGGCCCUAUGGGUUGUAAACUGCUUUUAUAUGGGGAUAAAGUGGGGAACGUGUUCCCUUUUGCAGGUACCAUAUGAAUAAGGACCGGCUAAUUCCGUGCCAGCAGCCGCGGUAAUACGGAAGGUUCGGGCGUUAUCCGGAUUCAUUGGGUUUAAAGGGAGCGUAGGCCGUUUGGUAAGCGUGUUGUGAAAUGUAGGAGCUCAACUUCUAGAUUGCAGCGCGAACUGUCAGACUGGAGUGCGCACAACGUAGGCGGAAUUCAUGGUGUAGCGGUGAAAUGCUUAGAUAUCAUGAAGAACUCCGAUUGCGAAGGCAGCUUACGGGAGCGCAACUGACGCUGAAGCUCGAAGGUGCGGGUAUCGAACAGG
rnacentral:rRNA from 1 species